CGCUGGCGGCGUGCCUAAUACAUGCAAGUCGUACGCUUCUUUUUCCACCGGAGCUUGCUCCACCGGAAAAAGAAGAGUGGCGAACGGGUGAGUAACACGUGGGUAACCUGCCCAUCAGAAGGGGAUAACACUUGGAAACAGGUGCUAAUACCGUAUAACAAUCGAAACCGCAUGGUUUUGAUUUGAAAGGCGCUUUCGGGUGUCGCUGAUGGAUGGACCCGCGGUGCAUUAGCUAGUUGGUGAGGUAACGGCUCACCAAGGCUACGAUGCAUAGCCGACCUGAGAGGGUGAUCGGCCACAUUGGGACUGAGACACGGCCCAAACUCCUACGGGAGGCAGCAGUAGGGAAUCUUCGGCAAUGGACGAAAGUCUGACCGAGCAACGCCGCGUGAGUGAAGAAGGUUUUCGGAUCGUAAAACUCUGUUGUUAGAGAAGAACAAGGAUGAGAGUAACUGUUCAUCCCUUGACGGUAUCUAACCAGAAAG
rnacentral:rRNA from 1 species